UACGUAGGGUGCAAGCGUUAAUCGGAAUUACUGGGCGUAAAGCGUGCGCAGGCGGUUAUGUAAGACAGUUGUGAAAUCCCCGGGCUCAACCUGGGAACUGCAUCUGUGACUGCAUAGCUAGAGUACGGUAGAGGGGGAUGGAAUUCCGCGUGUAGCAGUGAAAUGCGUAGAUAUGCGGAGGAACACCGAUGGCGAAGGCAAUCCCCUGGACCUGUACUGACGCUGAGGCGCGAAAGCGUGGGGAGCAAACGGG
rnacentral:rRNA from 1 species